UGUGCAUUAGCUUAAUUGGUAGAGCAACGUGUUACGGCCACGAAGAUAUGAGUUCAAGUCUUGUACGCACAU
rnacentral:tRNA from 1 species